rnacentral:misc_RNA from 1 species
GAAACUCCACCAUCAAAAUUCUGCCAAAUCCCACAUAUUCAGAAAUUCAAAAAUUUAUGACAGUUAUUCAAGCCACUAUUCACAUAAAUCUAGUAAACCUCAGAUUUCAUUCUUUUCUUAGUUGUCAUCAGCCUCAAAACUAUCCCACCAAUCUACCAUUCAAACCCCUGAUAACACGUCAAUUUUCCUGCCUUAGAGAACCUCUAAUAUCCUAAAUUCCCUGCUGCCUCUAAAAAAUGUAAAUCCAGUUUAUUGCGUUUCCUGUGCAUUUCACACUGUCAAACACCAUACAUGAAAAACAAACAAUCAAAGAACCUAUUUUUUUGCUGGUAACAAAAAAUUCCUACAACCAGGAACUGAAAUUCCUGCCACCAAACAGAAUCUUUUGUUCCUAAAAUCAAUCCUAGUUCAAAACCAAAAUUGGUACUACUGCUUAAUCAAGCAACUGAAUAAUGAUACAUUCUUAUUACCUUCUAAGUAGAUACUCAACUCAACUCAAC